CUGGUGUUGGGAAUUAGUUUUAUCAGUAACGAAGCUAACGCGGGAAGUUGACCGCCUGGGGAGUACGGCCGCAAGGAUGAAACUCAAAGGAAUUGUCGGGGACCCGCACAAGCGGUGGAUGAUGUGGUUUAAUUCGAUGCAACGCGAAAAACCUUACCCACCUUUGACAUGGCAGGAAGUUUCCAGAGAUGGAUUCGUGCUCGAAAGAGAACCUGCACACAGGUGCUGCAUGGCUGUCGUCAGCUCGUGUCGUGAGAUGUUGGGUUAAGUCCCGCAACGAGCGCAACCCUUGUCAUUAGUUGCUACAUUUAGUUGGGCACUCUAAUGAGACUGCCGGUGACAAACCGGAGGAAGGUGGGGAUGACGUCAAGUCCUCAUGGCCCUUAUAGGUGGGGCUACACACGUCAUACAAUGGCUGGUACAGAGGGUUGCCAACCCGCGAGGGGGAGCUAAUCCCAUAAAACCAGUCGUAGUCCGGAUCGCAGUCUGCAACUAGACUGCGAGAAGUCGGAAUCGUUAGUAAUCGGGGAUCAGCAUGCCGCGGAGAAUACGUUCCCGGGUCUUGUACACACCGCCCGUCACACCAUGGGAGCGGGUCUCGCCAGAAGUAGUAGC
rnacentral:rRNA from 1 species